GUAUGUUUGUAGCAGUGUAGCUCGGUGCAGCUCAGUAUCUCUUUUUUUGAGUAGUAAUAUUCCUUUUAUUGGAUUUGUAGUGUGAUUUCCACAGAGGCUGCACAAUUCAGUUGCAACAACCUGCUCAUGAUAGGCUGCUUGCUUCCAGCAAGUUUGUAUCUUUUGCACACCUGCUGUUUGCUGCACCAAAUCAGUUAAAUUGUCGGCUCCAAUAUCCAUCCGGCUGUGUACUGAUUGCCUGAGUAACGAAGCAUAAUGCCAGCUCUCCCCCGCCCUUCUUCGAGCAGCGCUGCUGUUUUGUUCUUAUUGUUUUGUCUUUGUUAUUUAUUUUUCUAUUUAAUUCUUUAUUAUAUAGAUAUCUUUUUGGGUUACUUUGUUUGAGUGGCUUUUUGACUUUGUCUUGUUAAUUGUUUUUUUUUAUUUGUUUGUACAAUUUGGUUUCCAGUAUGAGCUUCAUGGUUCCAGUGCUCUUUCCCUCAUUGAAGACUGUUGGUUGUAUUGAUGCCACAGUUGUUGAUGCUAUUGUCCCUGGUCGCUUUUAAAUAUUGGCGACUGUCUAUUUGGUCUUACACACUUAUGCACCUGGCUGUGUGAAUUUGCGGGGGGGGUUCGAGUAAAAGAAAAUGUUUUGUUAUUUGAGUUUUUGUAUGGUUUAUAAUUGAUUUGUCUUUGUCAUUUUGCAGGUGCUUAGUGCCACAAUGAGGUGGGCUAUAUUUUUUUUUUUUUUCUUGUGCUGUUUGCGGUGGUGUCCCCCCUCAAACAGCAUUCAGUGUAUCAUCUACAUUCAAUUUUAUGGUGUUUAGAGUGUGCGUGUAAGCUUGAUUGGUGUGGGUUUUCCCUGUGCCUAGUGUCAUAAUUAUUAGCCCACUCUUCCCUUACUGGGAAGCCUCAG